GCCAAUGCUGCGACCACCCCUCCCCCUCACGAUUUCUCGUUGAUAUCGCUGUAUUCAUGCUUGUUACGUGAGUUGCCUGAUGGAAGUUCUGCAACUGUCAGUCCAGAUGGAAGAAGGAGAUCCAUCCAAAGUGUGAGUUUUGCGACGUCGACGUGCAAGUUCUACAAUUAUCUGUCCAGAUGGGAGAAGGAGAUCAAUCCAACCGACGCAUCUAAAGCGACAUAUGCAGAGCCAUUCGUCUGAGGUAUCGGAAUAAUUCUAUGUUUUAUGUGUUCACUGGAUUUCCGGAUUUUUAGCGCAAGUGAUGCAUUCUGUUUUUGCCUGUUUAGUCCAAGUGGGAGAGCAAAAGUAAGCACUAUCUUCUUAGAAGUUGUGUUUGAAACCCAUUUUUAAUAGUGAAACAAGUAAAUCAGUGUGGUAAAUGCUUUACUGUUAUAGUUCUUAAGUGACUGAAAUUUUGACCAUGUGUUUAGAGUUAAGCAACUACAUAAGUUGCAUGCUGUAUUGAUCUACUUGUCAUGCUGAAGUUCAUAGGCUUCUUAAAAUUUCUAAUAUAAACAAGCUGGUGGCCGCCCAUCUCUGCAUGUAUUUUAUUUCGGAUGUAAGUCUCUCUAUAGAUCAUGUUAUGAGUAAUGCAAUUGGACAAGGUUGCUAGGAAGAUUUUUAGUUCACCUUUAAUGUGAUUUGCACUUCAUAUUUACAG
rnacentral:lncRNA from 1 species